UACGAAGGGGGCUAGCGUUGCUCGGAAUCACUGGGCGUAAAGGGUGCGUAGGCGGUUGUUUAAGUUUGGUGUGAAAUCUCCCGCUCAACCGGGAGGGUGCGCCGAAUACUGAAUGACUAGAGUGCGGGAGAGGAGAGUGGAAUUCCUGGUGUAGCGGUGAAAUGCGUAGAUAUCAGGAGGAACACCGGUGGUGUAGACGGCUCUCUGGACCGUAACUGACGCUGAGGCACGAAAGCUAGGGGAGCAAACAGG
rnacentral:rRNA from 1 species